rnacentral:rRNA from 1 species
AUUGAACGCUAGCGGGAUGCUUUACACAUGCAAGUCGAACGGAGUGGCGGACGGGUGAGUAAUAUAUCGGAACGUGCCCAGUAGCGGGGGAUAACUACUCGAAAGAGUGGCUAAUACCGCAUACUAUUGGCGAGGCCGAUAUCGGAUUAGCUAGUUGGUGGGGUAAAGGCUCACCAAGGCAACGAUCCGUAGCUGGUUUGGGAGGACGACCACCCCCCCUGGGACUGGGACACGGCCCACACUCCUCCUUCCUUCCUCCUUCUUCCCUUUUUCACUCUUACAGAAACCCUGAUCCAGCCAUCCCGCGUGUAUGAUUACUUCCUUCAGUUUAUCACGUACUUUUGGCAGAGAAGCGGUAUCUGCAGAAUAAGCACCGGCUAACUACGUGCCAGCAGCCGCGGUAAUUC